AGGUGUGAUCAUACCAGCGUUAAUGCACCGGAUCCCAUCAGAAAUCCGUAGUUAAGCGCGCUUGGGCUAGAGUAGUACUGGGAUGGGUGACCUCCCGAAAAGUCCUAGUGUUGCACCCU
rnacentral:rRNA from 1 species